UACGUAGGGGGCAAGCGUUGUCCGGAUUUAUUGGGCGUAAAGAGCGUGUAGGCGGCCUGAAAGGUCAGCUGUGAAAACUCGAGGCUCAACCUCGAGACGUCGGUUGAAACCAUCUGGCUAGAGUCCGGAAGAGGAGUGUGGAAUUCCCGGUGUAGCGGUGAAAUGCGCAGAUAUCGGGAAGAACACCCGUAGCGAAGGCGGCACUCUGGGACGGUACUGACGCUGAGACGCGAAAGCGUGGGGAGCGAACAGG
rnacentral:rRNA from 1 species